rnacentral:rRNA from 1 species
UACGGGGGAGCAAGCGUUGUUCGGAUUUACUGGGCGUAAAGGGCGCGUAGGCGGCGUGACAAGUCACUUGUGAAAUCUCCGGGCUUAACCCGGAGCGGCCAAGUGAUACUGUCGUGCUAGAGUGCGGAAGGGGCUACUGGAAUUCUCGGUGUAGCGGUGAAAUGCGUAGAUAUCGAGAGGAACACCUGCGGCGAAGGCGGGUAGCUGGGCCGACACUGACGCUGAGGCGCGAAAGCCAGGGGAGCGAACGGG